rnacentral:rRNA from 1 species
ACGAACGCUGGCGGCAUGCCUCACACAUGCAAGUCGAACGAGACCUUCGGGUCUAGUGGCGCACGGGUGCGUAACGCGUGGGAACCUGCCCUUAGGUUCGGAAUAACUCAGAGAAAUUUGAGCUAAUACCGGAUAAUGUCUUCGGACCAAAGAUUUAUCGCCUUUGGAUGGGCCCGCGUAGGAUUAGCUUGUUGGUGGGGUAAUGGCCUACCAAGGCGACGAUCCUUAGCUGGUCUGAGAGGAUGAUCAGCCACACUGGGACUGAGACACGGCCCAGACUCCUACGGGAGGCAGCAGUGGGGAAUAUUGGACAAUGGGCGAAAGCCUGAUCCAGCAAUGCCGCGUGAGUGAUGAAGGCCUUAGGGUUGUAAAGCUCUUUUACCAGGGAUGAUAAUGACAGUACCUGGAGAAUAAGCUCCGGCUAACUCCGUG